UACGGGGGGGGUAAGCGUUGUUCGGAAUUACUGGGCGUAAAGGGCUCGUAGGCGGCCAACUAAGUCAUACGUGAAAUCCCUCAGCUUAACUGGGGAACUGCGUGUGAUACUGGAUGGCUUGGAUGUGGGAGAGGGAUGCGGAAUUCCAGGUGUAGCGGUGAAAUGCGUAGAUAUCUGGAGGAACACCGGUGGCGAAGGCGGCAUCCUGGACCAUUAUUGACACUGAGGCGCGAAAGCGUGGGGAGCGAACAGG
rnacentral:rRNA from 1 species